AUAAAUAUGUUGGAUGAGAAGCUGA
rnacentral:piRNA from 1 species